UAAAACCAGCACCUCAAGUGGUCAGGAUGAUUAUUGGGCCUAAAGCAUCCGUAGCCUGUUCUGUAAGUUUUCGGUUAAAUCCAUAAGCUCAACUUAUGGGCUGCCGAAAAUACUGCAGAACUAGGGAGUGGGAGAGGUAGACGGUACUCGGUAGGAAGGGGUAAAAUCCUUUGAUCUAUUGAUGACCACCUGUGGCGAAGGCGGUCUACCAGAACACGUUCGACGGUGAGGGAUGAAAGCUGGGGGAUCAAACCGGAUUAGAUACCCGGGUAGUCCCAGCUGUAAACGAUGCAAACUCGAUGAUGCGUUGGCUUGUUGCUAGCGCAGUGUCGCAGGGAAGCCGUUAAGUUUGCCGCCUGGGAAGUACGUACGCAAGUAUG
rnacentral:rRNA from 2 species